rnacentral:rRNA from 1 species
CCCUGGUAGUCCACGCCGUAAACGAUGAGUGCUAAGUGUUGGAGGGUUUCCGCCCUUCAGUGCUGCAGCUAACGCAUUAAGCACUCCGCCUGGGGAGUACGACCGCAAGGUUGAAACUCAAAGGAAUUGACGGGGGCCCGCACAAGCGGUGGAGCAUGUGGUUUAAUUCGAAGCAACGCGAAGAACCUUACCAGGUCUUGACAUCCUUUGACCACUCUAGAGAUAGAGCUUCCCCUUCGGGGGCAAAGUGACAGGUGGUGCAUGGUUGUCGUCAGCUCGUGUCGUGAGAUGUUGGGUUAAGUCCCGCAACGAGCGCAACCCUUAUUGUUAGUUGCCAUCAUUCAGUUGGGCACUCUAGCAAGACUGCCGGUGACAAACCGGAGGAAGGUGGGGAUGACGUCAAAUCAUCAUGCCCCUUAUGACCUGGGCUACACACGUGCUACAAUGGGAAGUACAACGAGUUGCGAAGUCGCGAGGCUAAGCUAAUCUCUUAAAGCUUCUCUCAGUUCGGAUUGCAGGCUGCAACUCGCCUGCAUGAAGCCGGAAUCGCUAGUAAUCGCGGAUCAGCACGCCGCGGUGAAUACGUUCCCGGGCCUUGUACACACCGCCCGUCACACCACGAGAGUUUGUAACACCCGAAGUCGGUGAGGUAACCUUUUUGGAGCCAGCCGCCUAAGGUGGGAUAGAUGAUUGGGGUGAAGUCGUAACAAGGUAGCCGUAUCGGAAGGUGCGGCUG